rnacentral:rRNA from 1 species
UCGCCUGUUUAUCAAAAACAUCGCCUCUUGAUUCCUAUAAGAGGUCCAGCCUGCCCAAUGACUCAUUAAAUGGCCGCGGUACCCUAACCGUGCGAAGGUAGCAUAAUCACUUGUUCGUUAAAUCCGGACUAGUAUGAACGGCCCCACGAGGGUUUCACUGUCUCCCUACUUUAAUCAAUUAAACUAAUCUCCCCGUGAAGAAGCGGGGAUCAAAACAUAAGACGAGAAGACCCCAUGGAGCUUAAAACCCAAAGCCAAAUACAAAACUUUUUCACAAAAACCUCGUAUACCUGGCCUCUGGUUUUUGGUUGGGGCGACCGCGGAGUAAAACACAACCUCCACGAUGAACAUUUUACUUAAGAGCCACACCUCUAAAGAUCCUAAAUAAGACAUCCAUUGACCCAAAACAUUUGAUCAACGAACCUAGUUACCCUGGGGAUAACAGCGCAAUCCAUUUCAAGAGCCCCUAUCGACAAAUGGGUUUACGACCUCGAUGUUGGAUCAGGGCAUCCCAGUGGUGCAACCGCUACUAAAGGUUUGUUUGUUCAACAAUUAAAGCCCUACGUGAUCUGAGUUCAGGCCGGA